rnacentral:hammerhead_ribozyme from 1 species
AUCCAAAUGAUGAGUCCUAAAUAGGACGAAAAAUGCAUCAUGGAU